AGAAAACUACAGAAAUAAAGUAAAAAUUCAAGGGUCUCAUCUUCUCUCACGGGCUAUCUCCAUCAUAGUUCUUGAAUGGGUGAUUUUACCUUCAAAUACCCAGGCGUUUCUUACUAACCAGAUUUGCCAUAAGAGGGUUCGAUAGAUUGUAUUCGGGCGUUCAACCUUUCUUUCACUUGGUGGGUGGUAGAAGUUAAAGGCUAUUUUGUAUCCUGAAGCAACAGUGAAGCCGCUCCCUUUCUCUAGCAUCCAGUUGAAUCCACUUUUCUCUUCCCCACUGGAUGAUAUACGAUCAUGGAAGAAUUGCUCGACAAUUCGAAGGAUAGCAAUGGAGUCCUUCUCAUGUCCAAUUUGGAGCCAUCUCUGCAACUUCCAGAACCAUCUUGGGACCAGAUGUCUAUAGAGAAUUGUAUCCUCCGUUUUGUUGAAAGCUUUCUCAACAGAAACCUCAGGGAAUCGAGUGAGCUUGUUAAGAAGGCAAUUGGGAUCAAAUGCUAACACCAUGGAGCAAAUACUGUCAAAAGUGAACCUUUGAAAUAUGUCUUGCAAGUCCACAAUAGUUCUUGAUUCUGAAAUGUCAUUCAGAAGUGGAAGUACGUAACG